CCUACGGGUGGCAGCAGUGAGGAAUAUUGGUCAAUGGACGCGAGCCUGAACCAGCCAAGUAGCGUGAAGGAUGACUGCCCUAUGGGUUGUAAACUUCUUUUAUCUGGGAGCAAAAAUUGUCACGUGUGGCCAGAUGUGUGUACCAUACGAAUAAGCAUCGGCUAACUCCGUGCCAGCAGCCGCGGUAAUACGGGGGAUGCGAGCGUUAUCCGGAUUUAUUGGGUUUAAAGGGUGCGUAGGCGGUUGGUUAAGUCAGCGGUGAAAGUCCGCGGCUCAACGGGAUAAUUGCAGUUGAAACUGGCUGUCUUGAGUGCAGAAGAGGUGGGAGGAAUUCGUGGUGUAGCGGUGAAAUGCUUAGAUAUCACACAGAACUCCGAUUGCGAAGGCAGCUCACUGAUCUGCGACUGACACUGAGGCUCGAAAGUGUGGGUAUCAAACAGGAUUAGAUACCCCUGUAGUC
rnacentral:rRNA from 1 species